rnacentral:lncRNA from 1 species
GGCGGCAGCUCAGCUUUGGUGGUUUCUGAAGGAGCAAAAGACGACAGACAGAGCGACAGGAGAUCACGACAAGGGCGGUCCAAGUCUAGGAUGAGAGACUUGAGCAAGAUCAGAUGUUAUCGAUGUGAUGAGUUGGGAUAUCUAGUCAGAGAUUGCCCUCAACUCAGAGAUCGAACGAGGGCUACUGCAGUAAGUUAGAGGAUGAUAUCCUAGAGAUAUCUGAUGAGAUAUCUACUUCUUCUCAGCAAUAAAUUUUAGAUUCUACAUGCACCUAUCAUGUAUGUUGC